AAUGAACGCUGGCGGUAUGCCUAACACAUGCAAGUCGAACGGCAGCACAGUAAGAUCUUUCUCUUACUGGUGGCGAGUGGCGGACGGGUCAGGAAUACAUCGGAAUCUACUUUUUCGUGGGUGAUAACGUAGGGAAACUUACGCUAAUACCGCAUACUACCUACGUGUUAAAUCAGGAGAUCUUCUCACCUUUCGCGAUUGUAUUAGCCGAUGUCGGAUUAGCUAGUUGGCUGGGUAAAGUCCCACCAAGGCGACUAUCCGUAGCUGGUAUGAGAGGAUGAUCCGCCACACUGGAACUGAGACACGGCCCAGACUCCGACGGGAGGCAGCAGUGGGGAAUAUUGGACAAUGGGCGAAAGCCUGAUACAGCAAUACCGGGUGAGUGAUGAAGGACUUAGGGUUGUAAAGCGAUGUUGUUGGGAAAGAAAAGAAGCAGGUUAACCCGGGGAUAUUAUGACGGUACCUAAAGAAUAAGCACCGGCUAACUUCGUG
rnacentral:rRNA from 1 species